AAGUCGUAACAAGGUUUCCGUAGGUGAACCUGCGGAAGGAUCAUUACCAAAUGACCAACCAACCUUCACACAUGAGCACUUGUCUGCAGGACCUGGCGCGCGCCGUCGGGCAGAGAGAUGAUGUGAUAAACUGACGUUCAUCUAUUUGAUGUUCUGAUGUUCAUCCGUCAUCGCUGUCUGGUGGCCGCGCCAACUUCAUCAACAACCACAUACAACAACAAUACAACUUAUCCAUUAUUGCAGUGUAGUGACUGCAAUCAAAACUAAAAAACAACUUUUAGCAACGGAUCUCUAGGCUCUU
rnacentral:misc_RNA from 1 species